GGCAGCACACUGUGAUGUCAUAAGCCCGGGUUGCGACCUCACGGCAGGAGGAGAAUGAUCUUAUUAAAACAACACGGUCCCCAUCCAUGGCUGCUCGCAGUCGGGGGACUCCAGUGCAGGGUAGCAGCCAGCAGACAGGCCUGUGGCAGCCAGGGAGAUGAUGAGGAUGGUGCCCUCCCUGGGGUUAUGUCACCAGUGGGAAAUGGUGAUGACACAGGUCACGUCUGAGACUGGAAAAUAAGAAGCCUGCCCAGCAAGGCAGGGAAGGUGGUCGCUCCUGCUCCACUCUACACUUGUGAGAACCCGCUGGGAGUAGAGCAGCUCUGGGGUCCUCAGUGUGAGAGGCAUGAACCUGCUGGAGCAAGUUCAGUCAUGCCAGACAAGGCUACAAAAUGAUCGAGGGGUUGGAGCACCUCUCCUGUGAAGACAGGCUGAGAGAUGUUUGUUGUUCAAUCUGGAGAAGGCUCAGGAACAUCUAAUUGCAACCUUUCAAUAUAUAAAAGGGCUUAUAAGAAAGAUGAA